rnacentral:rRNA from 1 species
GACGAACGCUGGCGGCGUGCUUAACACAUGCAAGUCGAACGGAAAGGCCCUGCUUUUGUGGGGUGCUCGAGUGGCGAACGGGUGAGUAACACGUGAGUAACCUGCCCUUGACUUUGGGAUAACUUCAGGAAACUGGGGCUAAUACCGGAUAGGAGCUCUUGCUGCAUGGUGGGGGUUGGAAAGUUUCGGCGGUUGGGGAUGGACUCGCGACUUAUCAGCUUGUUGGUGGGGUAGUGGCUUACCAAGGCUUUGACGGGUAGCCGGCCUGAGAGGGUGACCGGCCACAUUGGGACUGAGAUACGGCCCAGACUCCUACGGGAGGCAGCAGUGGGGAAUAUUGCACAAUGGGCGGAAGCCUGAUGCAGCAACGCCGCGUGCGGGAUGACGGCCUUCGGGUUGUAAACCGCUUUCGCCUGUGACGAAGCGUGAGUGACGGUAAUGGGUAAAGAAGCACCGGCUAACUACGUG